AUGUUUAACAUGCUUUUUACAUUUGUAUAACAAACAUUUUUGAGAAAAUCGUGAAUAAAUUGGCAAUUUUAGGCCCUUUUUAGACCUGUACAUGGAUCAUGUAAGACUCUAUGUUUUGUGAACCGUAAAUGAUACAGACAUCUUGGCGCCAUUAUGGUAACACUUCAUUUGGAUAGUCCAUCUGUAGAUGCUCUAUAAACUAUCAGUAACAUGUCAACUGCAUGUCUGGCAACGGUACCGGACAGCAGGCAGGCUGAGGAUCAGGGUAGGCAGAGGUCAAUAAUCCAGAGGUGGGGCAAAGGUACAGGUCGGCAGGCAGGCUCAGGGUCAGGGUAGGCAGAGGUCAAUAAUCCAGAGGUGGGGCAAAGGUACAGGUCGGCAGGCAGGCUGAGGAUCAGGGUAGGCAGAGGUCAAUAAUCCAGAGGUGGGGCAAAGGUACAGGUCGGCAGGCAGGCUGAGGAUCAGGGUAGGCAGAGGUCAAUAAUCCAGAGGUGGGGCAAAGGUACAGGUCGGCAGGCAGGCUGAGGAUCAGGGUAGGCAGAGGUCAAUAAUCCAGAGGUGGGGCAAAGGUACAGGUCGGCAGGCAGGCUGAGGAUCAGGGUAGGCAGAGGUCAAUAAUCCAGAGGUGGGGCAAAGGUACAGGUCGGCAGGCAGGCUGAGGAUCAGGGUAGGCAGAGGUCAAUAAUCCAGAGGUGGGGCAAAGGUACAGGUCGGCAGGCAGGCUCAGGGUCAGGGUAGGCAGAGGUCAAUAAUCCAGAGGUGGGGCAAAGGUACAGGUCGGCAGGCAGGCUCAGGGUCAGGGUAGGCAGAGGUCAAUAAUCCAGAGGUGGGGCAAAGGUACAGGUCGGCAGGCAGGCUGAGGAUCAGGGUAGGCAGAGGUCAAUAAUCCAGAGGUGGGGCAAAGGUACAGGUCGGCAGGCAGGCUGAGGAUCAGGGUAGGCAGAGGUCAAUAAUCCAGAGGUGGGGCAAAGGUACAGGUCGGCAGGCAGGCUCAGGGUCAGGGUAGGCAGAGGUCAAUAAUCCAGAGGUGGGGCAAAGGUACAGGUCGGCAGGCAGGCUCAGGGUCAGGGUAGGCAGAGGUCAAUAAUCCAGAGGUGGGGCAAAGGUACAGGUCGGCAGGCAGGCUCAGGGUCAGGGUAGGCAGAGGUCAAUAAUCCAGAGGUGGGGCAAAGGUACAGGUCGGCAGGCAGGCUCAGGGUCAGGGUAGGCAGAGGUCAAUAAUCCAGAGGUGGGGCAAAGGUACAGGUCGGCAGGCAGGCUCAGGGUCAGGGGCAGGCAGAGUGGUCAGGCAGGCGUGCUCAGAGUCAGGGCAGGCAAGGGUCAAAACCAGGAGGGCGAGAAAAAGAGAGACUGUGAAAAGCAGGAGCUGAGACACAAAAAUGCUGGUUGACUUGACAAACAAGACGAACUGGCAACAGGCAAACAAGAGAAAACAGGUAUAAAUACACAGGGGAUAAUUGCGGAAGAUGGGCGACACCUGGAGGAGGGUGGAGACAAUCACAAAGACAGGUGAAACAGAUCAGGGUGUGACGAUAUCUGUAGCCUUUCAGUAAUAUUUCAACAGUAUAUCUGUAGCCUUUCAGUAAUAUUUCAACAGUAUAUCUGUAGCCUUUCAGUAAUAUUUCAACAGUAUAUCUGUAGCCUUUCAGUAAUAUUUCAACAGUAUAUCUGUAGCCUUUCAGUAAUAUUUCAACAGUAUAUCUGUAGCCUUUCAGUAAUAUUUCAA